AUACGGAGGGUGCAAGCGUUACUCGGAAUUACUGGGCGUAAAGGACGCGUAGGCGGUUUAGAAAGUCAGAUGUGAAAGCCUAUGGCUUAACCAUAGAACUGCAUUUGAAACUUCCAAACUAGAGUGGGGGAGAGGUCAGUGGAAUUAGUGGUGUAGGGGUAAAAUCCGUAGAGAUCACUAGGAAUACUCAUUGCGAUGGCGACUGACUGGAACUUAACUGACGCUGAGGCGUGAAAGCGUGGGGAGCAAACAGGAUUAGAUACCCUAGUAGUCC
rnacentral:rRNA from 1 species